AAGAAACUAUGUCGCUUUGAGGUCCUCGCGUGUUUUCUCUACACCGCGGGUCUCACGAUCACAAGCGGCCAGUAUUGGAUCAUCAAACAGAGGCUCUUCACCAAUCAGCUGAUGACCCUAUUCAAUAUGAAGGGGAAGGGCAAGAAAGAUAAAAUUAGAAUUGAAGACAAGAAAUUGUUUUCAGCAAUAAAAGCUGCUGUCAUGAAAUGGGACCCAGCUGGAACAGAGGCCCAAAUAAAGUCUGCUGCAUCUGAUCAUAUGAAACAUGCCCCCGGGAGAGUCGGGGGUGGUGGCUAUAAAUAAUAUAUUGUGCACCUUUUGUGCCACAUUUUGUUAAUUGUUUACAUUUUAUAGCACUUUUAUUUAUAACUUUACUGUUCUGGCUUUUAAGUUUUAUUAUGUUAUUGUGUUAAUUUAUACUUUACUGUUCUGGUUUUAAGUUUGGCUAAAAUUUGUAAUAAAAAUAUAU